rnacentral:lncRNA from 1 species
CUUCUGUCUCUGCAAAUGAAGGAAGAGCAUAAAGGAGGAAGAGAAGAGACUGAAGAGGGGAGGGGAGGAAGAACAGUGGCUUCCUCCCGCUCAAAGUGAAAAUGGAUGUAAGAUUAUUUUUUAGGGGAGAGAGGGCUAGAGUUUCUCUGGAGGUUUGCGCUCUCGUUGAUUGUUUGUUGAUAGAUGAUACUUAACCUGCAAAACUUCACUAAUACUAUAAUUAUUACUAGUUCUUUGGCACACACUCCGAUUGAAUUUUUUUUUUACUUGUGAUAUAUAACUUUUUUUUUUUAUUAUUCAACAGGUUUGAAGGUAGUUUUUUUUAAAAUUUUUUUUAUUUAUGGACAACUGUAGUACUGCUCUUAAUAUUAAUUUGCUAGUUUCAACUUAUCCAAAGUAGAUAUUAAUCGGUCACUAUAUAAUAUUGUAGUAUUAUUUUUAUAACAUAUAUUAUUCUUAUUCAAUUGUAUGUGAGAAUUAUUUUUAUAAUACGUGAAUUUUGUGUGUCUUACUGCAAAUUUUGUAAAAAAUACGUGUAUUAAACAUUAGAAAUGUGUAUGUACAUGUACAAUAGGACUAUUCCACAUUUCCUCUUUAAAAAAUGUGAGACGUGUGUAGAACACGAAUGUACUAUUAAAAAA